rnacentral:piRNA from 1 species
UGCCAAACCUGAGGACCUAAGUUCG